UAGGUCGAGGGCACGUCUGCCUGGGCGUCACA
rnacentral:rRNA from 1 species